AAAAAAAAAAAAAAAAAUUAUAAACCGGGCUAGUUUUGGUUUAGGUUCAAAGAGAGGGACUAGAACUAGGCCCCUAUACUCCGGAACCGUUGACCCAGGCUGGUGCUGGUCCUAGUCCGAACUGGGCUGUGGCUGGGUCUAAGCAAGAAUGUUGCAAAUUUCACUCACCGGCAUCACAUAAUCAUUUUUAUUUAAUUGACAUGGAAGAACAAGAACAUAAUACUAGGGAAACUGUAAGGAUGAAAGACAGGCAAGAGCUAUGAAGCAUUGGCCAAAUUAAGCUUAACCCACACCUGUAUACUUCUCAACAGUUCUAUAACCAAUUUAACCAUGUGCUACCAGCACAUGAAGUAUCUCUGUAAAAGCAUGCAUUUCCAAUCAACUACUGAUAUCAAAUUGUAAUUGGGAACAGUAAUUGAUUCUGAUAAGCAGGUACUUCUGUAGAGUCUGCACCUUUAAAUUCAUGUUCCUUUCACAUUUAAACUAGCAAUCUAUGAUAAUAAUGCAACAGUUCUUGAUCUUUGUCUCCUCAUUGACUUUGUGAUCACAUCACUCCUAUAUCCUGCCUGCAUAAAAGUGCAUAGCAACUACAAAGAAUGAAUAAUUCAGCAUACACUUCAAACUACCUAGAAAAAGAAACUAUGUGAUCUUUAGCUAAAUCCACAACAACCAUUUAAACAAAUAUAAUGACAAUCUCCUCCUAGAAAAAGAAAGCAUCAAUUUUUGAAGAAACUAUGUGCAUUAUGUCUUGCUAUUAUAUAAAACAUGACCAGUAAACAUAACAUCAUCACCAUAACUAAUCAUCGAAAACUCUAGAAUAAUGAGGUAGCAAGAUGAAACUUUCUCAAAAGUUUGUUACUUCUUACUUCACUAACAGGGCACCAAUCACAAACUAAUAAAGAAACUAACCGGUGAAUAAAAGGUUUCACCCAUCAUUCAUCCACAUAUUCAGAAAGUAAUGGUUUGUUUGAGAAGAAAGCUUCCAGAUUCCCCACCACAAGUUCACUUAAAUCCUUCAUUGAUUCUGGCGUAAAGACAGCACAAUGUGGCGACAGCACAACGUUAUCCAAUGCAAAAAACUCCUUAGCAACAUCAGGCUCAUUCUCAAACACAUCAAGACCUGCCCCACCAAUCUUUCCUUGCACCAAAAACUGCACUAGUUCCUUCUCAUCAAUCAGAGACCCACGUCCAACAUUAAUGAUCACCCCUUCUUUUCCCAAGCUUGUCAUCACUCCUUCAUUAAUCAUAUGGUGUGUUUCUUCUGUUAAUGCGCAACAAAGAAUGAGAAUGUCACUAUCUGCAGCAAGGCCGCGAACAUUGGCAUAGUAAGGGAAUGGAACAGAUGGCUUCCUCCUCCUUGAAUUGUAGGCAAUGCUGCAAUCAAAAGCCACAAGCCUUUUUGCAACUUUAGAACCGAUACUUCCAAACCCAACUAUCCCAACUCGUUUCCCUCCUAACUUGGAACCAAGGGGAUAAUCCCCCAUCACAGGCCACAACCCACCACGAACAAAUCUGUCAGCUCCUGAUAUUUUGCGUAAAACAUCAAUCAACAACCCCACCGCUAGGUCAGCGACAUCCUCCGCGAAUGCCACACUGGCGUUGGUUAUGGCAAUACCACGGCGAUGACACUCCUGCAGGUCGAUGUGGUCAACGCCAGCACUACACGCUACUAUGAGCUCCAAAGAAGGGAGGAGACUGAGAGUUUCAGAGGUUAUGGGGGAAUAGCCCACGCAGAGGAGGGCUCUAACUGAUUGAGCAUAGGUGGACAGGAAAGAGCUAGUGGAUUCUUGUGAAUCAGCCGGGUCGAGGAGGAGGAAGUGAGGAGAUAGGCGGUUUCUGUGUGGAAGGUUGAAUUGCGGGCGACGAUAGACAAGGACAACAGGGAGGUUUUCUUGGUUUUGCUUGGCAGCCAUUGAUGAAGGACUGACAGUUCAGAUUUCAGAACUCAGAACUUACAAAUUCUCUUCUCUUCUCGUCUUUUUUAUAGGCCCCUUGCUGGCUUUACCUAUCAACGACGUCUCCCAUUUACGAGGAUGUCAAUGGCACGGGGCGGGUCGAGCCCCGUCUUGCAAAAACUUAACCCUUUGUUUGCG
rnacentral:misc_RNA from 1 species